GGCUCUGUGGUCUAGUGGUAGGAUUCUUCUUUCGGGUCGCCAAUGUUCAUCCCGCCUCUCUUCAGAGAGACGAGUAUAGAAGAGGUCCCGGGUUCGAAUCCCGGCAGAGCCC